GGGGUUGGAGAUGAGUGGUAGAGCAUCUGCCUUGCAAGCAGACAGUCCCAGGUUCAAUCCCUAGUAUCUCCA